UAAGGGAUAUUGCGGCAAUGGACGACAGUCUGACGCAGUAACGCCGCGUGCGGGAUGACGGCCUUCGGGUUGUAAAGCGCUUUUCGGGAGGAUGAGGAAGGACAGUACUCCCGGAAUAAGGUACGGCUAACUCUGUG
rnacentral:rRNA from 1 species